GAUGAACGCUGGCGGCGUGCCUAAUACAUGCAAGUCGAGCGAAGUUUUUCUGGUGCUUGCACUAGAAAAACUUAGCGGCGAACGGGUGAGUAACACGUAAAGAACCUGCCUCAUAGACUGGGACAACUAUUGGAAACGAUAGCUAAUACCGGAUAAUAGCAUUAACUGCAUGGUUGAUGUUUAAAAGUUGGUUUUGCUAACACUAUGAGAUGGCUUUGCGGUGCAUUAGCUAGUUGGUGGGGUAAAGGCCUACCAAGGCGACGAUGCAUAGCCGACCUGAGAGGGUGAUCGGCCACACUGGGACUGAGACACGGCCCAGACUCCUACGGGAGGCAGCAGUAGGGAAUCUUCCGCAAUGGGCGAAAGCCUGACGGAGCAACGCCGCGUGAGUGAAGAAGGAUUUCGGUUCGUAAAGCUCUGUUGUUAGGGAAGAAUGAUUGUGUAGUAACUAUACACAGUAGAGACGGUACCUAACCAGAAAGCCACGGCUAACUACGUGCCAGCAGCCGCGGUAAUACGUAGGUGGCAAGCGUUGUCCGGAAUUAUUGGGCGUAAAGCGCGCGCAGGUGGUUUAAUAAGUCUGAUGUGAAAGCCCACGGCUCAACCGUGGAGGGUCAUUGGAAACUGUUAAACUUGAGUGCAGGAGAGAAAAGUGGAAUUCCUAGUGUAGCGGUGAAAUGCGUAGAGAUUAGGAGGAACACCAGUGGCGAAGGCGGCUUUUUGGCCUGUAACUGACACUGAGGCGCGAAAGCGUGGGGAGCAAACAGGAUUAGAUACCCUGGUAGUCCACGCCCUAAACGAUGUCAAUUAGCUGUUGGGCAACUUGAUUGUUCAGUAGCGUAGCUAACGCGUGAAAUUGACCGCCUGGGGAGUACGGUCGCAAGAUUAAAACUCAAAGGAAUUGACGGGGACCCGCACAAGCGGUGGAUGAUGUGGAUUAAUUCGAUGCAACGCGAAGAACCUUACCUGGUCUUGACAUGUACGGAAUCCUCCAGAGACGGAGGAGUGCCUUCGGGAACCGUAACACAGGCGCUGCAUGGCUGUCGUCAGCUCGUGUCGUGAGAUGUUGGGUUAAGUCCCGCAACGAGCGCAACCCUUGUCAUUAGUUGCCAUCAUUUAGUUGGGCACUCUAAUGAGACUGCCGGUGACAAGCCGGAGGAAGGUGGGGAUGACGUCAAGUCCUCAUGGCCCGUAUGACCAGGGCUUCACACGUCAUACAAUGGUCGGUACAGAGGGUAGCCAAGCCGCGAGGUGGAGCCAAUCUCACAAAACCGAUCGUAGUCCGGAUUGCACUCUGCAACUCGAGUGCAUGAAGUCGGAAUCGCUAGUAAUCGCAGGUCAGCAUACUGCGGUGAAUACGUUCCCGGGUCU
rnacentral:rRNA from 1 species